rnacentral:lncRNA from 1 species
AUGGGCUUGGUCUUCUUUACUUUCAUGGAAAAGGAGUUCCCCUGAAUUAUGCCGAAGCACUUAAAUACUUUCAGAAAGCUGCGGAAAAAGGGUGGCCCGACGCACAGUUCCAGUUAGGCUUCAUGUACUACUAAAAGGCUAACAUUCUUGAAAAAGAGAAGAUGUAUCCAAUGGCGCUUCUCCUAUGGAAUCGAGCUGCCAUUCAAGGACAUUCACUUGGCCAGAAGAUUGUACGACAUGGCUGCUCAAACGAGUCCAGAUGCCCACAUACCUGUGCUCUUUGCCGUCAUGAAACUGGAAACUACGCAUUUGCUCCGGGAUAUCCUGUUUUUUAAUUUCACAACGAGAUGGAACUGGCUGAAACUGGACAACACCAUUGGACCACACUGGGACUUAUUUGUGAUUGGCCUCAUUGUUCCUGGGCUGAUUUUGUUGCUUAGAAAUCACCAUGGGUAGGAUGCGGAUCACAGGAAAACCUGCUCACGGGAAUCAGUUCACUCCAAGGUAUCCCCACUAAAUAAACAGUUUCCCAUCCAAAUCAAG